UUGUAAUGUGUAAGGUAUUCAUUUGUGCAUGUAUGUCUGAGAGUGUGUAGACCAACCGACCUGCCUGUGUGUGUCUCAUGUAUUGUGCUAUGAGCUAUGAAGUCCAAUUACUGAACUUCUAUCACUAUACCAUCUCAACCCGUACAGCAAGCAGACUGUGACUUCAUUCGCCAUCUCCUAUUUUCUGACCCCUUACAGUACAAAACUGGGAUAAAAUUGGCCGAUUCCUGCUAGCUGGACAGCCCAUCGAUACACCCCAAGCUUGAUUUUCGGAGUCCUAAACGCCUUUGAACUCGUCCAUCACACGUAAGGGAUUCCUACAUAUCGAAAGAGACCGGGUCUGCACGUUUUCUCAACAUCACCAUCAUCCUUGUGAUCGCCCUGAGAGAGCGCACGAGAGAGACAGCAGCUAGAGAGGAAGGUCUCGUAUGUUUUGCAAGCUUUUGACGGUGUAGCAGACGUCUAUUUUCCUUUUAUGGAAGAUGGCAGAUGCCCUGGUAUACGCUCCAGCAACGUUUGCCGUGGACUGUUCUUUGUCAAACAUGAAUAAUGUGAGAAUUGUUCAAAUUUUUCAAACAUUUGUUUACACUCUGCUUUAAUAUCUAGAUUGAGUUUAGAUCUAAUCAUUUUGUUAUUUAUAUGACAUUUUUAUUUGAGUUUUUUUCAAAUAAUUUUGAGUUAGAAGCCUGUGAGCAUAUUGUCAUUUCACUUUUUUUAAUUUAAAAAUAUCAGUUUUGAUAUGCACUAUGAUGAUGAUAAUCUUCAUGAUAAAAAGAAUCCUUAAAUCCAAUGUUGAAUCUUUCAUCAAAAUGCAGUCUGAAGUGGAAUGUCUAUAAUAAGUGAUCUAUUAGCUGAAUCAUUGAAAUUAAUAUUGGAAAUGGAGGUUGACUGGAUGAAGUAUGGUGAGCUAGCUACGAGCUAGACACUGACAUUUUAAACAUCCAGCUUUUCUCACUUGUCUUGGGAGCUUAAAAUCAUUGGUCCAUACGGUGUACAUAUUAUUUUUAACUCAGCUCUCCCUUUUUAAAAAUAUUUUUAAAUAUAUAUUAUUAAAAGAAAGUUACACUUGCAAAGAAAUUCUCUAGAGAAAAUGUGAAAGCAUUAUAUAACUUAUUGAUGCAGUAAUUAUUUUCAUAGUGACAUCUUACAGAAUUGAAACAUCAUAAUUUCCUUCCAAUACAUUAACUUUCCAUUAGAAAAUCUAAGAUGAGCUCCUACAUGUAUGAACCUCUAAGAUAUAUUUUGCACUAUUGUUCAUUUAUCAAAUAUUGACUUAUUAAUGCUUAUGAUGCAAAAAGCAAGCUAUAAUAAUAAUAUUCCGUAUAGCGCAUAUCACAUAACGUCCCUAUGCGCUUCAUAAGAGCUUUGAAAAUGAUUACCCGAGCUUUAGCUCCGGCAGCCGUUAUCAGCGCACAGUGCAUUUCAAGGAAUAAUCCUACCAGGUACCCAUUUACCU